AGCGAACGCUGGCGGCAGGCCUAACACAUGCAAGUCGAACGAACCUUUCGGGGUUAGUGGCGGACGGGUGAGUAACCCGUGGGAACGUGCCUUUAGGUUCGGAAUAACUCAGGGAAACUUGUGCUAAUACCGAAUGUGCCCUUCGGGGGAAAGAUUAAUCGCCUUUAGAGCGGCCCGCGUCUGAUUAGCUAGUUGGUUGAGGUAAUGGCUCACCAAGGCGACGAUCAGUAGCUGGUCUGAGAGGAUGAUCAGCCACAUUGGGACUGAGACACGGCCCAAACUCCUACGGGAGGCAGCAGUGGGGAAUCUUGCGCAAUGGGCGAAAGCCUGACGCAGCCAUGCCGCGUGAAUUAUGAAGGUCUUAGGAUUGUAAAAUUCUUUCACCGGUGACGAUAAUGACGGUACCCGGAGAAGAAGCCCCGGCUAACUUCGUG
rnacentral:rRNA from 1 species